rnacentral:rRNA from 1 species
GAUGAACGCUGGCGGCGUGCCUAAUACAUGCAAGUCGAGCGAACAGACGAGGAGCUUGCUCCUCUCACGUUAGCGGCGGACGGGUGAGUAACACGUGGAUAACCUACCUAUAAGACUGGGAUAACUUCGGGAAACCGGAGCUAAUACCGGAUAAUAUAUUGAACCGCAUGGUUCAAUAGUGAAAGACGGUUUUGCUGUCACUUAUAGAUGGAUCCGCGCCGCAUUAGCUAGUUGGUAAGGUAACGGCUUACCAAGGCGACGAUGCGUAGCCGACCUGAGAGGGUGAUCGGCCACACUGGAACUGAGACACGGUCCAGACUCCUACGGGAGGCAGCAGUAGGGAAUCUUCCGCAAUGGGCGAAAGCCUGACGGAGCAACGCCGCGUGAGUGAUGAAGGUCUUCGGAUCGUAAAACUCUGUUAUUAGGGAAGAACAAAUGUGUAAGUAACUAUGCACGCCUUGACGGUACCUAAUCAGAAAGCCACGGCUAACUACGUG